CGGCGGCAAAGAGUGCCUCACCCCGCGUAACCCGGCGGGAGCGCGCGGCGGGAACCGCUCCGCAGGCAUCACCUCACGGCCCCGCGGGUCGGGCGCCUCCGUCCUCACACCGGCGCCUGCGGGAGCCCAGGUGGAGGCCAAACUCGAGUUCCAACCCCCUCCCCGUGCAUGCAAACGGCUUUUAACGCCGCUUACGUUACCCUUCAGCCGCCUCAGCCCCACCUGCGGGAGGACGAAGCUGAGGGGCCGCCGGGAGAGGCGCGAGGCCCUGUGAGGCGGCUGCCCCCGGCGCGACGCUGUGAGGAAGCACGGCAGGCAAUUAGCAUGCACAUGGAAGUUAAAUUACUGAUCUGGGAAAAUAAUCAAGAAAUCAGCUGAGUUGAGGAGAACACGAACAUGUAGCUGCAAGGAACCAGGAUCUGAGGAGUACAACUUGCACACCACUUAGCCAGCGUUCCUGCCUGGGUAAGCAGAAUGCACAGCCCUGGGAACAAUUUUCAGAAGGAUGUUAAGGGCCCCACUUAUCGAAAUCGACACCCAAGAGACAGAAUCCUGUCACCCAUCCUACUCCACACAGCUCUAACUCAGACAGCCUACUUCACUCCAGGUGCCUCACUGUUUUCUUCUCUCCUUCCUUCCCUCCAGCAUACCUAGGAAGUCAAUCAAAACAGGUAAACCUUUCUCAGAGGACUGGCAUGCUUCCCAGUCCUUAUCACCACUGUCCUCCUAUUGGGGAUUUCAAACAAUAUUAAUGGUGGCAUAAGCUGAGCUAUCACAGCUUUUAAAGGAGAAAGUGUCAG
rnacentral:lncRNA from 1 species